GACGAACGCUGGCGGCGUGCUUAACACAUGCAAGUCGAACGGAAAGGCCCUGCUUUUGUGGGGUGCUCGAGUGGCGAACGGGUGAGUAACACGUGAGUAACCUGCCCUUGACUGUGGGAUAACUUCAGGAAACUGGGGCUAAUACCGGAUAGGAGCUCCUGCUGCAUGGUGGGGGUUGGAAAGUUUCGGCGGUUGGGGAUGGACUCGCGGCUUAUCAGCUUGUUGGUGGGGUAGUGGCUUACCAAGGCUUUGACGGGUAGCCGGCCUUAGAGGGUGACCGGCGACAUUGGGACUGCGAUACGGCCCAGACUCCUACGGUAGGCAGCAGUGGGGAAUAUUACACAAUGGGCGGAAGCCUGAUGCAGCAACGCCGCGUGCGGGAUGACGGCCUUCGGGUUGUAAACCGCUUUCGCCUGUAACGAAGCGUGAGUGACGGUAAUGGAUAAAGAAGCACCGGCUAACUACGUG
rnacentral:rRNA from 1 species